GCCGGUGUGGCUCAGUGGACAGAGCGUUGGCCUGGGGACUGAAGGGUUCCGGGUUCGAUUCCAGGCAAGGGCA
rnacentral:tRNA from 1 species